GGCGAACGCUGGCGGCGUGCUUAACACAUGCAAGUCGAACGGAAAGGCCCUGCUUUUGUGGGGUGCUCGAGUGGCGAACGGGUGAGUAACACGUGAGUAACCUGCCCUUGACUUUGGGAUAACUUCAGGAAACUGGGGCUAAUACCGGAUAGGAGCUCCUGCUGCAUGGUGGGGGUUGGAAAGUUUCGGCGGUUGGGGAUGGACUCGCGGCUUAUCAGCUUGUUGGUGGGGUAGUGGCUUACCAAGGCUUUGACGGGUAGCCGGCCUGAGGGGGUGACCGGCCACAUUGGGACUGAGAUACGGCCCAGACUCCUACGGGAGGCAGCAGUGGGGAAUAUUGCACAAUGGGCGGAAGCCUGAUGCAGCAACGCCGCGUGCGGGAUGACGGCCUUCGGGUUGUAAACCGCUUUCGCCUGUGACGAAGCGUGAGUGACGGUAAUGGGUAAAGAAGCACCGGCUAACUACGUG
rnacentral:rRNA from 1 species